rnacentral:rRNA from 1 species
GCAGAACGCGAAGAACCUUACCAGGCCUUGACAUGCACUAGACCGACUCUGAAAGGAGUCUUCCCUUCGGGGCUGGUGCACAGGUGCUGCAUGGCUGUCGUCAGCUCGUGCGUGAGAUGUUGCGUUAAGUCGCGCAACGAGCGCAACCCCUGUCCUUAGUUGCCAUCAGGUAAAGCUGGGCACUCUAGGGAGACAAACCCUCUCUGAGGGUGGGAAGGUGGGGAUGACGUCAAGUCAGGAUGGCCCUUACGGCCUGGGCUGCACACGUGCUACAAUGCUCGGUACAGAGGGACGCAAGACCGCGAGGUGGAGCAAAUCCCAAAAACCGAGCCCAGUUCAGAUUGCAGUCUGCAACUCGACUGCAUGAAGCCGGAAUCGCUAGUAAUGGCGUAUCGAGCU